CGACGGUAGCACAGAGAGCUUGCUCUCGGGUGACGAGUGGCGGACGGGUGAGUAAUGUCUGGGAAACUGCCUGAUGGAGGGGGAUAACUACUGGAAACGGUAGCUAAUACCGCAUAACGUCGCAAGACCAAAGAGGGGGACCUUCGGGCCUCUUGCCAUCAGAUGUGCCCAGAUGGGAUUAGCUAGUAGGUGGGGUAACGGCUCACCUAGGCGACGAUCCCUAGCUGGUCUGAGAGGAUGACCAGCCACACUGGAACUGAGACACGGUCCAGACUCCUACGGGAGGCAGCAGUGGGGAAUAUUGCACAAUGGGCGCAAGCCUGAUGCAGCCAUGCCGCGUGUGUGAAGAAGGCCUUCGGGUUGUAAAGCACUUUCAGCGGGGAGGAAGGGAGUAAGGUUAAUAACCUUGUUCAUUGACGUUACCCGCAGAAGAAGCACCGGCUAACUCCGUGCCAGCA
rnacentral:rRNA from 1 species